rnacentral:rRNA from 1 species
AGUUUGAUCCUGGCUCAGGACGAACGCUGGCGGCGUGCUUAACACAUGCAAGUCGAACGAUGAGGCCCUUCGGGGCGGAUUAGUGGCGAACGGGUGAGUAACACGUGGGCAACCUGCCCUCCACUCUGGGAUAACUCCGGGAAACCGGGGCUAAUACUGGAUACGACCCUCCCUCGCAUGGGGGUGGGUGGAAAGUUUUUCGGUGGAGGAUGGGCCCGCGGCCUAUCAGCUUGUUGGUGGGGUGAUGGCCUACCAAGGCGGUGACGGGUAGCCGGCCUGAGAGGGCGACCGGCCACACUGGGACUGAGACACGGCCCAGACUCCUGCGGGAGGCAGCAGUGGGGAAUAUUGCACAAUGGGCGAAAGCCUGAUGCAGCGACGCCGCGUGAGGGAUGACGGCCUUCGGGUUGUAAACCUCUUUCAGCAGGGACCAAGCGUGAGUGAGUGUACCUGCAGAAGAAGCACCGGCUAACUACGUGCCAGCAGCCGCGGUAAUACGUAGGGUGCGAGCGUUGUCCGGAUUUAUUGGGCGUAAAGGGCUCGUAGGCGGCCUGUCGCGUCGGAAGUGAAAGCCCACUGCUUAACGGUGGGUCUGCUUCCGGUACGGGCAGGCUGGAGUAUGGCAGGGGAGACUGGAAUUCCUGGUGUAGCGGUGGAAUGCGCAGAUAUCAGGAGGAACACCGGUGGCGAAGGCGGGUCUCUGGGCCAUUACUGACGCUGAGGAGCGAAAGCGUGGGGAGCGAACAGGAUUAGAUACCCUGGUAGUCCACGCCGUAAACGUUGGGCGCUAGGUGUGGGGACUGUUUCCACGGUCUCCGUGCCGGAGCUAACGCAUUAAGCGCCCCGCCUGGGGAGUACGGCCGCAAGGCUAAAACUCAAAGGAAUUGACGG